rnacentral:rRNA from 1 species
AUUGAACGCUGGCGGCAGGCUUAACACAUGUAAGUCGAGCGGGGUGAUGGUGCUUGCACUAUCACUUAGCGGCGGACGGGUGAGUAAUGCUUAGGAAUCUGCCUAUUAGUGGGGGACAACAUCUCGAAAGGGAUGCUAAUACCGCAUACGUCCUACGGGAGAAAGCAGGGGAUCACUUGUGACCUUGCGCUAAUAGAUGAGCCUAAGUCGGAUUAGCUAGUUGGUGGGGUAAAGGCCUACCAAGGCGACGAUCUGUAGCGGGUCUGAGAGGAUGAGCCGCCACACUGGGACUGAGACACGGCCAAGACUCCUACGGGAGGCAGCAGGGGGGAAUAUUGGACAAUGGGGGGAACCCUGAUCCAGCCAUGCCGCGUGUGUGAAGAAGGCCUUAUGGUUGUAAAGCACUUUAAGCGAGGAGGAGGCUCUUUUGGUUAAUACCCAAGAUGAGUGGACGUUACUCGCAGAAUAAGCACCGGUUAACUCUGUGCCAGCCGCCGCCGUAAAAC